AUUCUUAUAGUUGAAUAACAACGGUGGUUCUUCAAAUCACUAGUCUCGGUUAAAGUCUGAGUAGGAAUU
rnacentral:tRNA from 1 species